rnacentral:rRNA from 1 species
GCUCAACUGAGGAAUUGCUUUGGAAACUGGAUGACUUGAGUGCAGUAGAGGAAAGUGGAACUCCAUGUGUAGCGGUGAAAUGCGUAGAUAUAUGGAAGAACACCAGUGGCGAAGGCGGCUUUCUGGACUGUAACUGACGUUGAGGCUCGAAAGUGUGGGUAGCAAACAGGAUUAGAUACCCUGGUAGUCCACACCGUAAACGAUGAGUGCUAGGUGUUUGAGGGUUUCCGCCCUUAAGUGCCGCAGCUAACGCAUUAAGCACUCCGCCUGGGGAGUACGACCGCAAGGUUGAAACUCAAAGGAAUUGACGGGGGCCCGCACAAGCGGUGGAGCAUGUGGUUUAAUUCGAAGCAACGCGAAGAACCUUACCAGGUCUUGACAUCCUCUGACAACCCUAGAGAUAGGGCUUUCCCUUCGGGGACAGAGUGACAGGUGGUGCAUGGUUGUCGUCAGCUCGUGUCGUGAGAUGUUGGGUUAAGUCCCGCAACGAGCGCAACCCUUGAUCUUAGUUGCCAGCAUUCAGUUGGGCACUCUAAGGUGACUGCCGGUGACAAACCGGAGGAAGGUGGGGAUGACGUCAAAUCAUCAUGCCCCUUAUGACCUGGGCUACACACGUGCUACAAUGGACAGAACAAAG